rnacentral:rRNA from 1 species
UACAGUGGCGUACGGGUGAGUAACACGUGGAUGAUCUACCCUGGAGUGGGGAAUAACGCUGGGAAACCGGCGCUAAUACCGCAUAAUCCCGAGAGGGCAAAGGAAGCAAUUUCGCUUCAGGAGGAGUCCGCGGCCGAUUAGCUAGUUGGCAGGGUAAAAGCCUACCAAGGCAUUGAUCGGUAGCCGGCCUGAGAGGGCACACGGCCACACUGGCACUGAAACACGGGCCAG